rnacentral:lncRNA from 1 species
ACAGAAUCAAAACGCAGUCAAAAACUGCAAUAUAAAUUGGAGCCUUUCAGGGCAAGGCAAAGUUUAAACAAUAACAACAACAACAAACCUAAGAAAACACUGUUUUAUAUAGUGUCUCAGCGUGCUUUCUAUUAGCUGUAAAUAAGAGACUAAAAUCAACCUAGGGAGGAAAGGGUUUAUUCUACCUUACAGCUUACAAUCCUUUAUGGAGGGAAGUCAGAGCAGGAAUCUGAAAGCAGGAACUGAAGCCGAGGCCAUGGAAGAAUUCUCCUUAUUGUCUUGCUCCCCACAAUUCCUUCAAUUGGCUUUCUCAUUCAACUCAGAACCACCCGCCCAAGAGUAGCAUCACCCACAGUGGGCUGGGCCCUUCCAUAUCAAGCAUUUUCUCAGUUGUGGUUCCUUGUUUCAGAUAUGUCUAGGUUUGUGUUAGUUUGACAAUAAACAGUCAGUACUUACCAUAUGGAGCACCU